rnacentral:tRNA from 1 species
AAGGUUUUAGCUUAAUAAAAGUGUCUGGGUUGCAUUCAGAAGAUGUGGGGUAAAGUCCCGUAGAUCUUA